rnacentral:rRNA from 1 species
CCUUGAAAUACCACCCUUUAAUGUUUGAUGUUCUAACGUGGACCCGUGAUCCGGGUUGCGGACAGUGUCUGGUGGGUAGUUUGACUGGGGCGGUCUCCUCCUAAAGAGUAACGGAGGAGCACGAAGGUUGGCUAAUCUUGGUCGGACAUCAGGAGGUUAGUGCAAUGGCAUAAGCCAGCUUGACUGCGAGCGUGACGGCGCGAGCAGGUGCGAAAGCAGGUCAUAGUGAUCCGGUGGUUCUGAAUGGAAGGGCCAUCGCUCAACGGAUAAAAGGUACUCCGGGGAUAACAGGCUGAUACCGCCCAAGAGUUCAUAUCGACGGCGGUGUUUGGCACCUCGAUGUCGGCUCAUCACAUCCUGGGGCUGAAGUAGGUCCCAAGGGUAUGGCUGUUCGCCAUUUAAAGUGGUACGCGAGCUGGGUUUAGAACGUCGUGAGACAGUUCGGUCCCUAUCUGCCGUGGGCGCUGGAGAACUGAGGGGGGCUGCUCCUAGUACGAGAGGACCGGAGUGGACGCAUCACUGGUGUUCGGGUUGUCAUGCCAAUGGCACUGCCCGGUAGCUAAAUGCGGAAGAGAUAAGUGCUGAAAGCAUCUAAGCACGAAACUUGCCCCGAGAUGAGUUCUCCCUGAGACUUAGAGUCUCCUGAAGGAACGUUGAAGACGACAACGUUGAUAGGCCGGGUGUGUAAGCGCAGCGAUGCGUUGAGCUAACCGGUACUAAUGAACCGUGAGGCUUAACCUUACAACGCCGAAG